rfam:Asian citrus Psyllid, Diaphorina citri - Florida Strain, whole genome shotgun sequence.
GCUCCCAUGGCGUAGUGGUCACUGCGCUCGCCUUCCACGCGGGAGACCCGGGUUCGAUUCCCGGCGGGGUCA